rnacentral:lncRNA from 1 species
CUGAGAAUCUUGAAGUAAGUUAAAUAAUUGCAUAUCAAAGACACCAAACCAGAAUGGAAGAAAAUUUAAAACAUCUCAGAUAGAUAUGCUGAACUAUGUAGAUGUAUGGCCUUCAAGUAAGACAACGUAGCCUUAACCACAACCAAGUGGUAUAGGAAGUCUAGAUAUUUUUAAUGUUGUAUCUUUUUUUCUGGUUUACAGGGAAAGCCAGAGAGCUGUGCAGUUACUCCUCGAUUUCCCAAAUCAAAAGACGAAGGAUGGUUUUUGAUAUUAGGAGAAGUGGAUAAGAGAGAACUUAUUGCUUUGAAAAGAGUAGGAUAUAUUCGAAAUCAUCAUGUUGCUUCCCUUUCUUUUUAUACCCCUGAAAUACCUGGAAGGUAUAUCUACACAUUAUAUUUCAUGAGUGACUGCUACCUUGGCCUGGACCAGCAGUAUGACAUCUAUCUCAACGUUACACAAGCGAGUCUUUCUGCACAGGUCAACACCAAGGUCUCUGAUUCCCUGACUGACCUGGCAUUAAAGUAACUUGACCUGAACAAUCCAUUUGAAAGGAGUGGCUAAGAAUUCUCUCUGUUCAGUCAUCUAGACAAAUCGAAUUACUUGAUGUUUGCCUUGAAAGAAUCAACUUCUAACCUCAACCAUCCAGGAAAUUGACAGUGGCUGCAGUAUUGACUCCAGUGACAUAAAGUUAAC